GAUGAACGCUGGCGGCGUGCCUAAUACAUGCAAGUCGAGCGAACAGAUGAGGAGCUUGCUCCUCUGACGUUAGCGGCGGACGGGUGAGUAACACGUGGAUAACCUACCUAUAAGACUGGGAUAACUUCGGGAAACCGGAGCUAAUACCGGAUAAUAUAUUGAACCGCAUGGUUCAAUAGUGAAAGACGGUUUUGCUGUCACUUAUAGAUGGAUCCGCGCCGCAUUAGCUAGUUGGUAAGGUAACGGCUUACCAAGGCAACGAUGCGUAGCCGACCUGAGAGGGGGAUCGGCCACACUGGAACUGAGCCAGGGUCCAGACGCCUACGGGAGGCAGCAGUAGGGAAUCUUCCGCAAUGGGCGAAAGCCUGACGGAGCAGCGCCGCGUGAGUGAUGAAGGUCUUCGGAUCGUAAAACUCUGUUAUUAGGGAAGAACAAAUGUGUAAGUAACUAUGCACGUCUUGACGGUACCUAAUCAGAAAGCCACGGCUAACUACGUG
rnacentral:rRNA from 1 species